rnacentral:tRNA from 1 species
UGGGGUUGUGGCUCAGUGGUAGAGUGCUUGCCUAGCAUGUGUGAGGCACUGGGUUUGAUUCUCAGCGCUAA